AAAGGUGGAAGAUGUCUGUCAGAGGGAACUGCCUUUGCUGUUUGAAGGAUGUACCCCUGCCAAACGUGGGUUCACAGCUACCGAGAGGCUACCAUAAAGUCCCAGGAGUGCGAAUGGUGUUAAGGACAGCCCAGCUCAUGAGGUCCACAGGAUCCUAAAAAACACGAUGAUGUGAGUAUUUGAAAAUGAAUCAGAAAGCCUGGAAGUACAGCGUGAGGGUGAACGGCCUUUUUCCAAGAAAUAACUAGGAACAUGGAACCUGAACCAAAUGCUUGAAUGAGGAUAAUGGAACAAUUAGCAGCCAUGUAAGAACUUGUUCUUGUAUGACCUAUGGCCUGGAUCCAUUUGUAAACGAGGAGGAAAAGAAGGGGAAGAAACCAGAUAUUACUUACUAAAUAGACAUCAAGCACGGAGGCAUUAUCAUCUUGCAUUUCC